ensembl:lincRNA
CUUACUUUUUCAGGUUUGACAAGCUGCUAUGGAUUGAAUUGUGCCCCUCUCCCCACACCAAAUUCAUAUGUUGAAGCCCAAACACACGAUGUCAUGGUAUUUAAAGAUGGGGCGUUUGGGAGGUAAUUAGGUUUAAAUGAGUUCUUGAGGGUAGGACCCAUAUAAUGGGAUUAGUGCCCUUAUUGUAAGACACCCCAGAGAGCCUGCUUACUUUCUUUUCUCUGUCUCUACCCACACCCCAGAAAAAAAUGCUUGUAUGAGGACAUAGUGAGGAAGGCAACCACCUGCAACCCAGGGAGAGAUACCUCAGCAGACACUGGCUCUACUGGCACCUCGAUCUCGGACUUUUACUCUCCAGAAACAUAAAUUCCUGUUGGGUAAACCACCCAGUCUACAGUAUAUUGUUUUGGCAGCCUGGGCUGAUUAAGGCAGAACAGAAUCCCCACAUAAGCAACCAAGUUGAGUCUGAAUUUGGCCCCAGGCCCUCUAGCUCUUUCAUGAAAGGCUGUUACUGAACAAAUGAAGAUUUAACCAGCUCAAGCAUCAAACGGCACAUUCCAGUUUGCUAAAAAGGUAAACAGUUCAAACAGGAAGUUAUGAUAUGUACCCAUCCACAGGUCAAUGAAAGUUUUUAUUUACAUUGGAAAACCUUGUGUACACUGGACUAAUAAAC